rnacentral:rRNA from 1 species
UACGUAGGGUGCAAGCGUUGUCCGGAAUUAUUGGGCGUAAAGCGCGCGCAGGCGGUCCUUUAAGUCUGAUGUGAAAGCCCACGGCUCAACCGUGGAGGGUCAUUGGAAACUGGGGGACUUGAGUGCAGAAGAGGAGAGUGGAAUUCCAGGUGUAGCGGUGAAAUGCGUAGAUAUCUGGAGGAAUACCGGUGGCGAAGGCGGCAUCCUGGACCAUUACUGACGCUGAAUCGCGAAAGCUAGGGGAGCAAACGGG